ACUCCUACGGGAGGCAGCAGUGAGGAAUAUUGGACAAUGGGCGGAAGCCUGAUCCAGCCAUGCCGCGUGCAGGAAGACUGCCCUAUGGGUUGUAAACUGCUUUUAUACAGGAAGAAUAAGUCCGACGUGUCGGAUGAUGACGGUACUGUAAGAAUAAGGAUCGGCUAACUCCGUGCCAGCAGCCGCGGUAAUACGGAGGAUUCGAGCGUUAUCCGGAAUCAUUGGGUUUAAAGGGUUCGUAGGCGGGUUUGUAAGUCAGGGGUGAAAGUUUUACGGCUCAACCGUGAAAUUGCCUUUGAUACUGCAGAUCUUGAAUAUUUGUGAAGUAACUAGAAUAUGUGGUGUAGCGGUGAAAUGCAUAGAUAUCACAUGGAAUACCGAUUGCGAAGGCAGGUUACUAACAGAUUAUUGACGCUGAUGGACGAAAGCGUGGGUAGCGAACAGGAUUAGAUACCCUGGUAGGACAGUG
rnacentral:rRNA from 1 species